rnacentral:tRNA from 1 species
GGGCCUCUAGCUCCAACGGUCAGAGCACUGGACUUUUAAUCCAAGGGUUGUGGGUUCGAAUCCCACGGGGCCUA